AAGCUUCUUAGUACUAGUAUUCAGGGAGCUAUCCCUGUGUUUUUUUCCCAUUAUAUCUUCUGAAUUUUCUUGUAUGUUUCUUUUUCUUAUAUUGCACUGCUUCCUUAUAUGAUCUGCUUAUGUUUUACUACAUAAAUCAUUUGAACUAAAAAAUCCCUAUCGAAACAAACCUUUAAUGUUCUUUGAAUUCCUGUACUCUUUAUAUGGCACCAUAUGAAUUUUACUACUCAACCCGUUAAAGAGUAUUACAUGAUUUUAUACUCAAUGCUACUACCUACAAUGAUUUUUCCUCUCUUCCCCCUCCCUGCAACUGGUUAGAAAUUGAAGCAUUUAUUUCUUUCACGCAUAGUUAUCAAGGCG
rnacentral:lncRNA from 1 species